CCCUCUCCUUAAAGUAGUUAUUUCAUAAUCCAUUAGUUGAACAUGUGGCUCUUGGAUUGUCCUCUUCAAUCAUCUCUGAACUCCCUUUCCUACUUACUAGGAGACUGUUAAUCUUGUACCGAAGGACUGCUGUUGAUGACCAAUAAAAAAUGUACAGUAAUGGACCUCUCAUCUCUAUUGGUGUGAAUGUGAAGAUAGAACAGAUUGUCCUGGAAGCUGUCCAGCAAAAAGUGGUAUACAGAUAAUUUCAAAGAAAAGACUCAAGCUAUGGCACAAAGGAAUAUAUCCUAAGCUGACUGGAGAUCUCAACAGGCCAUUUGACUUACACAGCAGGUGUUAAAGGUCAUCUAUCAUAGAUCCCCUUUUGUGGUGCAAAGCACUCUCAGAUGAAAUGGCUCUGCUACAAGUGAAGGGUCUGUCCUCAGGGAAUAGUACAUAGACAAAAGAACUGAAUUAGCUUUGAAUUUGAAGCUAAAUAUUACAAAGGGAAACAUCUGGGCUACAAAGGAUAAGGAACUCCGAGAAGAGGAAACAACAAAUACCCUGGAGGCAGAUUCUCUAUUCAGAAGCCUGAAUUGUGCUGCUUUGCUGCUAAAAUUCAUUCUUUUCAAAGUCUAUAUGCAGAAAUUGCAUGUGCAUGAAUAAAAACAGGCCAAGAUAAUACAAUCCUCUAAUAAUGUCCCCUACCAGAGACAACCCACUUCUCAGUUCUGAGCGUGCUAACCACUUGGCAACACAACAGUAUCCCUCUGUGAUGCCAAGCAAGUAUUGUGCAUGUUUAGAUUGAAGAAUUACAUUCCAAAGAAUAUUUAACCUCAAGGAAAAUCAAUACUAAAUGAGUAUGUUCAGCUGUGUAUCUGCCACAGUAAUACUUCACUGUAUUGGCAACUGGGGACCAAUUAGUUUUCUGCAACUGGGUAUGUUUUGAUCUACUCAGCUUCUGGGGUACCACUUCUAUCCAAUACUAUGCUGUUGAAAAAAUGCUCUCUAAUGCUGAUCCAUUUCUGCACAGCAAAACUGACUCGUGGUUUGUUUGUUUUUUUUGCUCAGUACCUUAUUCAUAAACUAAAGCUACAGUCAGGAAUUUGAAAUAAAGUAUGAGAUACAACAGCUUGGAAAAUUGAA